rnacentral:lncRNA from 1 species
ACAAUAAGAGUUAUGUACAAAAUAAAUAAAUAAAUAAUUACAUUGUAAGGAGACAACGAUCCAACAACCCAAAGUUGACUGGGAGACGACGACCUAGACCUCUCAUGAACACAUCGCAGCAUCCACCAUACGCCUCAUCCUGUGGUACCUGUCCUUGACCUGUGGGGGUGUGAGACGGCAAGGGUGAGCUCACACAUGUUCAUCGCUCAACAAGUUGUGGGGAAUAAUGUGCAUAAACUCGCCAAAAGUGGGAGCUCAUGAAGUGUAAGGCUUACCAAAGAGGAUGGUUAAAGCUGAGCAUUGCUUUUAAAGUUGGUCAAAAUUUUAUUAGCAAUUACUAAGUACAAGUCGAUACCAAACCAUAAUAAUAAUAGAACAAAAUUAAUAAUGAAUCCCAUGCAAUGCAAAUGACAAAUUGAAUUUAGUUCCAUAAUUUAAUCAUGCGAGAGUCCUGAGCUACUCAUGACCGCGAGCUCGGCUAGUAUACAAGUUUUACACUCCGCAGAGGUUGUACCCUGUACCCACAAGUCGUGUAUCCCAUGUCGCUAGGGUUAGCUAGACACUUAGACACUACCGAGGUGAAUGGCUAGGGAUCCACUACGAGGCCUUUACAAAGUUCCUUAGCUUCCGAAAACCCGUUAUAGUUUAUGGGAAGAACACUUGCAAGAAUCCCUCAUCUGACCGCCCUCGCAGCAAAAUCAACCCGAGAACCUCCCUGCAUGCAACUCCCCUACUGCCCUUGCCCCUUUUGGGUAAGGUAGUCUUCCACUAACUUUCCUAAUUAGUCAGCCAAGGGCAUCCCAUUCCACCCUUGUGGUGGCACGUGUUUCUCAAGUUAAGCUCCAUGUUCCAAUUAAAGAUAAUGAUGAUCUUGACAUGAACAUAAAUAACAUAACAAAAUAAUUGGAACAUGGUAUUAUCCCAAAACCAUAUAAAGCAAUAGCAAAACUACCCGAGUGAUUAAGGGGUAAACAAGGUAAAAGAUAAUCAGACUAGGGUGACCUAUUGGGUCGCAUCAAAAUUAAACCUAUACAUGAAUAAGUGAUUAAAUAACAUUAUUGGGUGCAUAAAAGUGAUCAAGGGCAUAACAUGCCUGGGACUUGAGAUUCCAGGUACCAGGAUGAUCAUCAGAUUCUCGUGACCUUACUACUAGUCGUAGCAAUACAAACAAACAUGGUAUAGACAAAAUUAACAUCACACAAAACAUAAGAACAAACUGUAUAAUAAUAAUCUACGCGUUGCUACGAGAUCGUGGGUUCGCGAACUACUAAAAUCGGAGUUAUGGUUUAGGAGUUAUGAUUUAUGGGAGAUCCGUGAUUCAAAUAUUCAACUAUAUUAUAAACAGAUUAGUAUACACCAUAUAAGAGAAUAUUCCAUAAUAAUAAACUCAACUUUAAUUUUAAUUAUAACUUGACUAGAGAUCAUAUUUCAAUCAAAUUAUAAUCAUGGACAAGUUAGCUUUGAUUAGGAGAGUUAACCUAGUAGACAUAUGAUAAAUAAAUAUCUAACAAUAAAAGUAUGCGACAUAGUAUAAUUAAUGUUGCCACUGUAUAGUAAAUAUUUCUAUGAGGCUAACGCAAUUGCAAUGGAUCAAUUCCGAGUAAAAACGAAGGAGAUAUGGAUUAAACAAGUUUCUAGGUAUUUUAUUAUUAAAUUUAUACCUAAAUAAUACUUCCAAGGGCUCUUUUGCUAAUUCCAGGGACUUAACUGUGAAAUACUUAUACUGUUGAGGGAUGGAGGGUUAGUUAUUAAUUUCUGUGGGGUUUCUUUUGCAAAUAAGGCUCGACAAAGGGGUAUCGUAAAUUCUGAGUCGCAUGAUUAAGAUCCUGCGGUCUGGAUUAUAUCUGAGCCCCCGCAGGCACGCGAGCCAAAGGAUCAGUAAUCUACGGUGAGGAUUCUAUUAACACGGGAUCUGAUCUCCGCCCCACGAUCCCUAAUUAACGAACCGGAUUUGAUCUCGUGAAAGGUUACACAGCCUUCUAAUCACAGCCACACGCCGCCGAUCCGACGGCGACCGACCCAUCAUCUACCCCAGGCAGCACAGCCCUCAGACUCCGCAGCCCACGGUGGAGCACAGGCCGGCGAACUCCUAUCCCAUGCAAAGAUCACCAAUUCCGACAAUUUCUUGGUGCAAAAGCAGGUGCACACGACGACGAAUUCACUGGGAUGAUCCCCCAACAUGACUUUGCCCAACGAUGGUGGUCAGAGUGUCAGACACACAUGGCGGAGCGGCAUUGUCGGUGAAAGCGCAUGGCCCACAUAGAAAUCCAAACCCGGAGCACGACAAGUGCUAGAUGGCGUAGAGCAUCGAGUAAACAUAUUGAAACCGCAGAUUUACCUGCGACGAGGUCCGAAAGAGCUGGCCGCGGUGCCUGACGACUCCGCCGUGGUACCACCACACCGAUGACAGAAUUCCGACGCACCGAUUGUCGCUGUGCCCGAUGCUUCCAUCCAUGACUUCCUCACGUGCUCCCCAUCCUCCCUGACCAGUCACCGGGGCUGGACCUUGGGCGAUGGCGGCAUCAUCAUGCAGACCCCAAGGUAGUGCUCCUUGAGCGAGCGAGCAGGAUGGAGUUCACGGUAGAGGAGGCCACCGCGGUGCGGGAAGAGGAUGGCAUGGCCCAAGAAGUCGCGGCUGCUAGAUUAUAUAGGCAGUCGAGGACCAAGUCCGCGUGGAAGAUGCG